CCCUUAGAUGUCCUGGGCUGCACGCGCGCUACACUGGAAGUUACGGAUUGAGAUACUACCUUGUCCAAAAUGGUCCGGGUAAUCACCUAAAAGCUUGUCAUAAUUGGAAUGGAUUAUUGUAACUAGUAAUCCUGAACGAGGAAUUCCUAGUAAGUCCCAGUCAACAGCUGGUACUGAUUACGUCCCUGCCCUUUGUACACACCGCCCGUCGCUACUACUGAUUGGACGUUUAAGCAAGAUUUUUAAACACUGACAGUGUGUAGUUCACGCUAUACUACAGUGAGAAGAAGAAGAUCGAGCUUACUUGUCUAGAGGAAGUAAAAGUCGUAACA
rnacentral:rRNA from 1 species